rnacentral:rRNA from 1 species
GUAGGGAAUAUUGGGCAAUGGAGGCAACUCUGACCCAGCCAUGCCGCGUGCAGGAUGACGGCCCUCUGGGUUGUAAACUGCUUUUAUACGGGAAGAAAAAAUACUACGUGUAGUAUACUGACGGUACCGUAAGAAUAAGGAUCGGCUAACUCCGUGCCAGCAGCCGCGGUAAUACGGAGGAUCCAAGCGUUGUCCGGAUUUAUUGGGUUUAAAGGGUGCGUAGGCGGAUCUUUAAGUCAGUGGUGAAAGCCUGCAGCUUAACUGUAGAAUUGCCAUUGAAACUGAAGAUCUUGAAUGUGGUUAAAGUAGGCGGAAUGUAUCAUGUAGCGGUGAAAUUCUUAGAUAUGAUACAGAACACCGAUAGCGAAGGCAGCUUGCUGAACCAUUAUUGACGCUGAGGCACGAAAGCGUGGGGAGCGAACAGGAUUAGAAACCCGGGUAGUCC